CCUACGGGGGGCACCAGUGGGGAAUAUUGCACAAUGGGCGCAAGCCUGAUGCAGCCAUGCCGCGUGUAUGAAGAAGGCCUUCGGGUUGUAAAGUACUUUCAGCGGGGAGGAAGGUGUUGUGGUUAAUAACCACAGCAAUUGACGUUACCCGCAGAAGAAGCACGGGCUAACUCCGUGCCAGCAGCCGCGGGAAUACGGAGGGUGCAAGCGUUAAUCGGAAUUACUGGGCGUAAGGCGCACGCAGGCGGUCUGUCAAGUCGGAUGUGAAAUCCCCGGGCUCAACCUGGGAACUGCAUUCGAAACUGGCAGGCUAGAGUCUUGUAGAGGGGGGUAGAAUUCCAGGUGUAGCGGUGAAAUGCGUAGAGAUCUGGAGGAAUACCGGUGGCGAAGGCGGCCCCCUGGACAAAGACUGACGCUCAGGUGCGAAAGCGUGGAGAGCAAACAGGAUUAGAUACCCCUGUAGUC
rnacentral:rRNA from 1 species